GCCGGGAUGGCGGAAUUGGUAGACGCGCUAGCUUGAGGGGCUAGUGGCCGCUAAGGCCGUAGGGGUUCAAGUCCCCUUCCCGGCACCA
rnacentral:tRNA from 1 species